ensembl:lncRNA
GGGGAACUGAGUCAACUUUAACGAGUGGGCUGUGAACCCCAUCAUUCUCAUUACUAUGUAAAGAGACGGUGGGGAAUGUAGGCAGGCUUUGGUGGGGGUUGAUGCAAUCCAGAGUGGUCCAGCCAUGGUCGUAGAGCCAGCAAUUGCAGUUUUGAAUCAGUUGAUCCAAUUUUGGUGGCCUGAGAAUUGGAGCAAAGGUGCUGUCCUGGGCCUGAAGGUGUGGGUGUCAGCGACAGAGUCCAGUGUCUUGGAGGAGAACUGGGAGGAUCAGGCAGAAGGGUACCCUGGCAUCUUAGCUUUGGAAUCAGAAAGAAUUCAUUCGGAAUCCUGACUGUGCCAUUGACUUGGUGAAAUCAAGUCCCCACCUGUAGAAUGGAGAUAAAAGUGGAAUCUUUAACCUCAUAGGCUUAUUGCAAGAAAUAAUCGACAUGAUGCCUGCUAAACUCUUACCGUGGUUCCUGGUGCCUAGAAAGUGCUCAAAACAUGUUAAUUAUUGUUAGUAAAAACUGAGAAGGCUGUCAUCUGCUGGGCAUGCAGGUGGGUGCUCUUGGCUUAUCUCAGGACCACUUCAGUUAACUCUCCAUCUGCACGGUGGCUUCCAGGAGCCACUGCUGAUGAUCUGAGCUCAUUUGUCCAAACUGCACUGCCGUCUCCAGUGCCCAUUCUGAGGCUGCAGGCUUCCUAUAAAACGGCUACAACCACUAUCUCAUCUCCAUGGACAGUCCUCCCAAAGGCCCCCCGUUUCUCUUUGAUACUCCACCCCCCAGAUCAGAUCCCUUCCUUCUGCCUAGACUCUUUGGAGACCCAAUUUGUUUCCCUGCCUCCCACAGUUCUGCUUCUUUUAGGUAGCCCAUUGGCUAAGGGUGCCCACCAAGUGCCCAGUUCCUGUUCUUGAAAGUCUAACCCAGGCAAUCCAAGAGAAGUGGUCAGGUCCCCCUCUCUGCGAGAUCCUGGGUAGGGUUUGGUUUAUAGAAACUAGUGAAAUCUUUUCCAGUUCCUGCAACCCAGGAGGAUGGAGGAGCAGGAACCAACAGCUUUUGCUCUUUAAAAAAAAAUUUUUUUUUUCUGUAUUUAUUUGUGCAUCUUAGCUGUGGCACAUGGGAUCUUCGAUGUUCACUGUGGUAUGUGGGCUCUUUAGUUGCAGUGUGUGGGAUCUAGUUUCCUGGGCAGGGGUUGGACCUGGGGCCCCUGCUCUGGGAGCAUGGAUUCUUAGCCACUGGAUCACUAGGGAAGUCCCAGCCUUUGCUGUUGGCUGCUGAGGUUCUUGGUCUUUUGGAUUCUGUCACCUACGUUGGGGACUGAGGUUAAAGUAUAUAAACAUCGAUUGCAGUAAAGGCCAGAGGGGUGGGUGUCUUGUCUUCAUCUCCUCAUGAGGUAUUUUUUCCAGGCUUAAGCAUUUGACUCGCUGAAGCAGAAAAGGGAACGUGCUGGCUGAAAUAACCAGACCGCGGAGCAGCUCUCUCUUGUCCGUGUUCUUUCCAUCUCUCACUUCUGUGUCUUAGUUUCUUUCCUCCUACUGUGGAUGGGGUUUUUGUGUAUGAUGGGGAUCUUGGCAGGUGUGUCUUGGCCAUUUGUUCUGAUGGUUUGUCACCAAGAAGAAAAUUGGCUUCUUCUUUCCAGUUUCAGUAUGAAAACUCCCAGGAAGGGGUUAUGAUAGACUCUCCUGGGCUGCUUGUCCACCUGCAGGCCGGGGGUUUGAGAUACUAUGGCUGGCCCAACUUGAGUCCAGGGGCAGGGGUGGACGCGCCUGUUACUAGAAGGCUGAUGGUGGUGGUGGGGGAGCAUAGGCAGGACCACCAGAGGAAAUCACUUGUGAAAUCAGUGUGUGACUUGAGUCUACUUCAGUGCGUGGUUCUGGCAAAGCUAUCCCCACUGCACUGUUUUCUUAGCCAUUCCAAUUCCCCUUUGGAAUAAGGUAGGGCACCCAUACAUUUAUCCCCCAAAAUAGAUGAUUUAGUUAUAGCAGAAAAGAGUGUGAAGUGAAAAACAAAGAAACCCAACAAAGAGUUACCAGUAACCAGGAAAUGACAAAUAAAUCAGGUUUGCCUUAUUGUUCUUGAUUAUUUUUAGCUUAGAAGGCGUGGGUGAAUAUGAGGUUCGGGUGAGUUCUUAGGCUCUCAGCCCAGAGACAGUUUGAAAAAUGGAAACCCAGUACUUCAAAUCGCCACGGGAGUAUCUUUACAAACCUUGACUAUACAGAGAAUAUGGGCUUCGUGUCCAUAUAAGGGUGAUUCCAAGGCUUGGACAGCCUGCAGAACACCCAAGGCAGCUUCUAUGGGAAGCCUCGAGUUACAAAUACAGCCCCAAAAUGACAUCUGAAGUCCCCAAGUAGAAAUAUUUUGGAAAUAUGUUUAUUUUCUUGUAUGUACAGUUCUACAUUGUCCUAGAGGGUGGCCCACGUGGCUUUUAGCUGCAUAAUAUACAAGGUGGGUAGUGUUUGCAGAGGGAUGAGGUAACUGAACUACAGAGGCAUUGCCACAUUUUUAAUUAACUAUUGAUUUGUAGGAUUUGUGUAUUGAGGUUAAUCAGGUACAACAAGAACAGAUAACUUUACUUGGCUUCCUUUAAGCUCAAGUAUAUAAAUCUGAUGUGGAGUGACUGUUUAUUAGAAAUGGAACUCUUUUUUUUUUUUUUUUUUCGUCUAGAGGUAAUCAAUGCUGCUUCGAAGCUGAAAAUAACAAACACAAUUCAACCCUCUCCUAUUUGUGAGAAUCUGUGUUUUACUUUCUUCUUGGGUUUUGGAGCAAAGGGGACAUAUUUCUUUCUUGGGUUUGGAAAAGCCUCACUCCAUAUGGUGGGCAACAGCCCUUCCUAUGGAAGGGACAAAUGCAGUAUUUUCCCAACGAGGAGUCACCUUGUGUUCCCGGAGAUCGCUGGAGCUGGAGCUCAAAGAUCUGUCAGGAAAGAAAUACUGCUGAGCUUCCUACUAACUCAGGAGUAUCUUUGGGUUAACUUUGAAGUUCUAGUGAUAAGGCUGAGAAAAAAUACACCAAGUGAGAUUUCAAACUUGCUGAAAGAUUACUGUCUCUUGAUGCCAGAUGUAUAGAACCAUGAUUGCAUUUGUCAUGAGUGUGAGCUCCAAGAGGAGUUUUAAAAACCACAUGGUUCUUUGUCUGGCAGCCUCCCAAGAGAUCCUGGAGCUCACAUCUUUCUUUACUGAAUCAAUACCGAUGAGCAAACAAGGGGCUCACCCAGUUGUCUGUCCUUUUGGACUUUGGGAACAGCUGUGGUUUGGGGGUCCUGGAGCAUAACUUGAUGCUUAUCUUAGAGCCCUUCAUGGUCUCCUAGCUUCUUCAGAUCAUGCUUUUUGGCCUCUGGGUAUGAAAGAUAGGCCAACACCUCUACCCUGGCUGGAAUUCCUCUGGUCCAAAGUAGUCAUGUGACUCAAGCUCGUCCAACUAGAAGGCUAUUGAUGGGUUCAGGAAUGGCAUGUUAUAAGAAAGGGGCCCAUCAUGGUUUCCCACAAAUCUUUUCUUAUAGAUUUGGGGAAAGACACUUCUUCAUAAAUUGGCAUUGGGAGCUGUAUCUGGGAUGUAGGCUAGAGGCUGUGAACUGCCAUCUUGUGUCCACCUGGAUCAAGUUUGUCUGAUAGUAAAGCAGAGCUGAGGUGAGGGAUAAGAAGAGAGAGCGAUACAGAGAGCCCCGAUGACACUAUUUGAACCUGGAUCCAGCUGAGCAUGAAGCUAGGAUCAUUCCCUCAAGCUUCCUGGGUACAUAAGUCAACAGCAUUUUAGUUAUUUAAUUUUUUUAUUGACCAGGAAGGGAACCAGCCUCAGGAGGAAGUGCAGAUUGAGGUUGGUAGAGGCAAAAGGAGAAGAGGGCGGCGGAGGAUGAGAUGGUUAGAUAGCAUCACCGACUCAGUGAACGUGAAUGUGAGCAAACGCUGGGAGAUGGUGAAGGUCGGGGAGGCCUGGCGUGCUGCAGCCCACGGGGUUGCAAAGAGUCAGAAACGCUGGGAGAUGGUGAAGGUCGGGGAGGCCUGGCGUGCUGCAGCCCACGGGGUUGCAAAGAGUCAGAAACUCUGGGAGAUGGUGAAGGUCGGGGAGGCCUGGCGUGCUGCAGCCCACGGGGUUGCAAAGAGUCAGAAACUCUGGGAGAUGGUGAAGGUUGGGGAGGCCUGGCGUGCUGCAGCCCACGGGGUUGCAAAGAGCCAGACACAACUUAGUGAGUGAACAACAACAAAUGACAACAGAGGAGAGAAACGGAAAGAGCCAAGAUCCUGAUGGAAUUAUCCAGGUGCAUAAAGCACCUGGACCCUGCCGUCCCUCUGGCCUGCCACUUGUAUGAGAAAACACAUUUCUUUACUGGGCGAACCAGCUCAAGUCCAGAUUUUUUUGUUACUUGACUCCAAAAGCAACCUAACUAACACAAGCUUCAGGGAGACUGGAUGAGUCUACCUCACCAGUCACUGAGUGAACCCGAGUGGGUUAGGGGACAGGGCCUGAAACUUUUGAGGGUGACGUCAUGAGGGGAAGCUACAUAUGCUUCAAGCUACCCCAAGCCAGGCCCCAUAGCCGGGUGUAAAUUCCUGUCAUGUGGAAAAUAUACUCAGAGCAGCAGAGUGUCAGUUUGGGACCUGUGAGUGUUGUCAUGGAGCCGCCAUCUCCUCCAUCUGAUCUAUUGACUAAAUUUGAAAGUAACUUAUAAUUGUCAUGGAUCUGCUGACUUUAGGAUGAGAUGUUUUCUUGAAGAAAAUCAAAACCAAAGGUUUCAACCAACUACUUUAGGUUGAAGACGGUGGGUAGGAUAGAGAUACCUGGGGGGAGGGAUGAGCUGGUGGAUUCUUACAGCUGGGCUCUGUGCCAACCCUGGUCCUACUCCUCUCCCUCAGGUUUUUUCCCUACAUGGAUUUUCUAUGUGGUUUAUGAGAAUAGCAUAAUCACAUUUUUUUUCUGGGUGGUAAAAUAGAUGUAACAUAAAAUUUACCAUUUUAAUCAUUCUUAAGUGUACAGUGGAGUGGCGUUAAUUACAUUCACAUUGUUAAGCCACCACCACCAUCCAUCUCCAGAACUUUUUCAUCUUCCCAAAUUCCUUAUGCAUUAAACACUCAUUCCCACUCUCCCCUCCCUCCAUCACAGUUCUACUUUCUGACUCUAGGAAUUCGACUGCUCUUAGAACCUCGUAUAAGCGUGUUCAUGCGACAUUUGUCCUCUUGUGUCCGGAUUAUGUCACUGCAUAAUGUCCUCAAGCUUCAUCCAUGUUGUAGCAUGUGUUAAUUCUAUUUUCUUUUCAAGACUGAGUAAUAUUUCAUAUGUUCAUAUACUACAUUUUGCUUGUUUUUUUUUUUUAUUUUUACCUUUUUAUUUUAUUGACUUCUGUAUUGGAGAAUGGUAGUUUUUAGAAAAGUGUUAUCCCAAAUGCUGAGGUCAGAAAGAGAGAGAAAUAGCAAGACAUUGGAACUAGCAGAGGAAGAAAAGAGCCGGUUCAUACCCCCAGACUCUGCUCAAUGGGCUUCCCAGGCGGCGCUGUGCUCAGUCGUGUCUGACUCUUGGCGAUCCCAUGGACUAUAGCCCGCCAGGCUCCUCUGUUCAUGGGAUUCUCCAAGCAAGAAUACUGGACAAGAUUGCCAUGCCCU